AAAACUUUCAACAACGGAUCUCUUGGUUCCGGCAUCGAUGAAGAACGCAGCGAAAUGCGAUACGUAAUGUGAAUUGCAAAUUCAGUGAAUCAUCGAGUCUUUGAACGCACAUUGCGCCCCCUGGUAUUCCGGGGGGCAUGCCUGUCCGAGCGUCAUUGCUGCCCUCAAGCCCGGCUUGUGUGUUGGGCCCCGUCCUCCG
rnacentral:rRNA from 2 species